CACGUAGGGCGCAAGCGUUGUCCGGAAUUAUUGGGCGUAAAGAGCUCGUAGGCGGUCUGUUGCGUCCGCUGUGAAAACUCGGGGCUUAACCCCGAGCCUGCAGUAGAUACGGGCAGACUAGAGGUAGGUAGGGGAGAAUGGAAUUCCCGGUGUAGCGGUGAAAUGCGCAGAUAUCGGGAGGAACACCGGUGGCGAAGGCGGUUCUCUGGGCCUUACCUGACGCUGAGGAGCGAAAGCGUGGGGAGCGAACAGG
rnacentral:rRNA from 1 species